rnacentral:lncRNA from 1 species
UAAUUUAGAACAUUUUUCCAGGACUACAAAAAUCAUGUUCUUUCCCUCCCCUCCCUCCAACCCCUUCCCAUAACCGAUGCACAAUUCCACUGGGUUUUACAUGUGUCUUUGGUCAAGACCUAUUUCCAAAUUAUUGAGAUUUGCACUAGGGAGAUCAUUUAGGGUUUAUAACCCCAAUUAUAUCCCCAUUGACACUUGUGAUCAAGCAGUUGUUUUUCUUCUGUGUUUCUUACUCCCACAGAUUUUCCUCUGAAUGUGGAUAGUGCUCUUUCUCAUAAGUCAUAGGAAACUCUUAAUGAAGAAGCUCUCUCCAUUAAAAAUGAUAGCCCUGAGGCUUUGUGAGACAUCCUGGUCCUCUUUCUACUCCGAGUCAGCAAAUAAAGAUUCAGUGAUCCCUACUGGAAAGAACUCAAAAGGCAAGAAAGAGAAUUACUAUAUAUAGUAGCUUCAUAUAGUCAAAAAAUAAAAGAAAGAAGGAAGACA